rnacentral:lncRNA from 1 species
CACAACAUAGUUAGCUUUCGAGUCAAGUCUCUAGCAAUUAAAAGGAGUAUAAGGCUAUAAAACUAAUUAAAAGGUUAGGAAAUGUAAAUUAAAGUGUUGGAAAAUGAUAGAGUAGCAAUUUUAUCACAUAAAAAUAUAAUCAUAGGCUUAUGUUAAAAUUUGUAUUCGACUCAAUUAUAAAAGUUAUUUUUAAAGCUAGUAGGGUUAGAAAGACGGUAUGAUAUUCUAGAAUUGCAUUCCAUUAUUAUACCUUCUAAAUUAAUAGGGAAGAAGACAAUCUAAAUAAUAAUAUUUAUUUUCUUACCAUCAUUUUGGAGUACAAAAUCAUAACUUCAAGGUCCGUACAAUUGGAAAAAAUAAAAACAAAAGUAUGUUGCAUCACUACACUAAUUUACAUUUCAAUUAAUAUUUUAUCACAAGGUAUAUUUCACAUUUAUUUUUAUAGCACAAUAACUCAUGGUUGUUUUUGUGUUGUCAUGGCUCUUGUACUUGUAGAAUUAGAUAGAAGUUUUCAUGCAUCGACAUAUGUGAUCGAUACACUUCAUAACAAAAAAUAUGGUCGUAUGUUUUGGACAAUCAGCAUCAGUUUCACAUUCAUUAUGUUCUGCAAUGAAAAAAUAUCAUAAAAUGUUGUUACUAAAAUAUGGUAAAAUAUUGUGUAUGACUUGUGAAGUGAAGAAGGAAAAUAAUAAAAAGGAUGAAAAUAUGGCUUACCACCACCAACUUUUGUUGCGAUAAGAAAUAAUGAAAGAAAUAUAAUCAUACAAAAAACAAACUUGAGAAUUUCAUCCAUAUAUUUCCUCUUUUAUGUAACUAAUAGAAUAUGGUUUGAUCAUUUAUAGUGUUUUAAGUUAUUUCUCUCUUAAAAAUAAUUAAAUAUUUUUCACCCUUUUGAAGUUAUAAAAAAACUUCAUAAUAUUAUAAUUAUUAUGAAAUAUCUCAUAAGAAUAUUAUGUAUUACAUUUUCCAUUUUAGGCACCUAGGAAGGAGGUCACAUGAUAAACUUGUCAAUCAUAAGUAUUUUUUUUUUCUUUCUUUUUUUAACUAACUUUUCUUUAGUUUUUAAACCUUUCAUGAUAGUAAAGGGAUAUUUGUUAUUUUCUUGAACAGAUGCAAAUAAAGACAUAAGAGAGGUUACAUAGAGAGAUACGCAAGAGUUUUUUCACUAGUUCUCAACAAAUCCAUAAAAUAGUGAAGGACUUAAUCCACUAUGACCAAAUUGGCCAAAAUUUAUUAAUGACCAACUCUUAGAUUUCAUAUUUUUUGUCAAAGACUUGUCAAGACUCUUGUAUAAUGAACAUAAAAAGGCUUGUUUGUUUUGGGUUAGGUCCCACCAUACCAAUAGAAGUCGCAUCUUUGAUCAAGUCUCAACAUGCUCCUUUUAUUAUCUUAACAGGACCAAGUCUAUAUGUAUGUUAUAUUGUUCCAUUAUAGCAUAAUAAGUACCAUCUAUGAUCUUCUUAACACCCCCAAUGUCGAACCUUUUAUUAUAAUGCCUCAAGAGACAACUACAAGAACCACUUCUAUAUUCGAUAAUAUCUAACAAUCAUGUCUCUUGAGUUGAGUAUUAUAAUCACUCUAUAGGUAACAAGAAGGACCUCUUUUAGAUUCCUAAAGAUCAAGAAAUUCUUCCUCUUGAGUUUAGUAUUCUAAAUAGGUCUUCAUGUGGUAAAAUCACAACUUAUCAAGAGGAGUAUUAUUCAAAGCCUCUUUAGGUUGGAAGAAGUAUUGUCACGGCAUUUAUUAGGAUCCAUCAACUUGUCACGUAAAUUGAGUAUUUUAAUCCCUCAUCAUGUGUGAGUAUUAUUCUCAACAUCUAUAGGACUAACCUCUCUUAACAUUUUAGGCUCAAUAUCAUCAGAGAAACUCUUGGAUUGACACAAGGAUUUGGACCCUCUAUUUGGUCACAUACACAUAAAAAGGAAAAAGGUAUAAGAAAUAAUAAUUAAAUAUCAUUAAUUUUCAAAUGAUUAUAUCAUGUCCACUUUUUUGUGUGUGUGACCAAAUAGAGGGUCCUAAUCCUUGUGUCCACUCAAGAAUUAUUCAUAUCAUCAAGCAUAAAGAUACAUCAAGCCUGAAAGAAUAUGAUGAAAACAAGUUCCAAUGGAAUCAUACCAUGAAGGAAACAAGUUAUAAAUGACACAUUAGCAAACUGGAAGACUAUGACCAGUUUUGUCUUCUUCUAAAGAAAUGUCGCUUUCAAAAUUAUGAUUGUAUUGUUUGUCUUCUUAUGACUUUGUGCAGAAAUAAACAAAGAACUUCAAAGGCAAAAGGAAUGGUCCAGAUCAUUCUAAAAGAAGCAAAGGACUCAUCUAGUAUUAUUCAAUGACAUUAUCAAUUAGUGGCAAAGUUUUCAAAUUUGAUCAAAGCUUCUCAAUGACGAACUUGAUGCGCUGACACUCUUCAAACAACGGCUCUCUUAUUUCUCUCCUAUAUAAGGACAUGAGAAGUUUGAAGAACUUAUGAGACUUCACAUAUUUUACAAGUGUCAAAACUCUGUCAAAUUUAAAAGUGCACAAACACUUAGAAAAUUCUUACAAACUUUAUAUCUUAGAAUUUCUUAGUGUUAGAAGUUACUUGAAAUUAAAGUUAGUUUAUCACUCUUUGAGUACAAAAGUUUAAACACAUUCAAAUUUUGUAAACUCUGAUUGUAGAAGUCCUCUUGUGUAAGGCAAUGAAAUCUUAGACUUGUGUGUCUAAAUAAUUGUAAUCUUGUGCGAUUAUAGUGAAAAUUCUUUGAAAAUGCAAGGAGAUUGAACUAACAUCAGAUUGUGGCCGGGGUGAACCAGG